rnacentral:rRNA from 1 species
UACGGGGGGGGCAAGCGUUGUUCGGAAUUACUGGGCGUAAAGGGCUCGUAGGCGGCCAACUAAGUCAGACGUGAAAGCCCCCGGCUCAACCGGGGAGGGUCGUCGGGGACCGCACCGCUUGAGGGCGGUAGGGGCUGGUGGAAUGCCUGGUGUAGUGGUGAAAUGCGUAGAGAUCAGGCGGAACACCCGUGGCGAAGGCGGCCAGCUGGGCCGUCCCUGACGCUGAGGCGCGAAGGCGUGGGGAGCGAACGGG